rnacentral:rRNA from 1 species
UAGGGAAUCUUCGGCAAUGGGGGCAACCCUGACCGAGCAACGCCGCGUGAGUGAAGAAGGUUUUCGGAUCGUAAAGCUCUGUUGUAAGAGAAGAACGAGUGUGAGAGUGGAAAGUUCACGCUGUGACGGUAUCUUACCAGAAAGGGACGGCUAACUACGUGCCAGCAGCCGCGGUAAUACGUAGGUCCCGAGCGUUAUCCGGAUUUAUUGGGCGUAAAGCGAGCGCAGGCGGUUAGAUAAGUCUGAAGUUAAAGGCUGUGGCUUAACCAUAGUACGCUUUGGAAACUGUUUAACUUGAGUGCAGAAGGGGAGAGUGGAAUUCCAUGUGUAGCGGUGAAAUGCGUAGAUAUAUGGAGGAACACCGGUGGCGAAAGCGGCUCUCUGGUCUGUAACUGACGCUGAGGCUCGAAAGCGUGGGGAGCAAACAGGAUUAGAUACCCUGGUAGUCCACGCCGUAAACGAUGAGUGCUAGGUGUUGGGUCCUUUCCGGGACUCAGUGCCGCAGCUAACGCAUUAAGCACUCCGCCUGGGGAGUACGACCGCAAGGUU